AAUGAACGCUGGCGGCGUGCUUAACACAUGCAAGUCGCACGAGAACGUUUCAGCUUGCUGAAACUAGUAAAGUGGCGCACGGGUGAGUAACGCGUGGGUAAUCUACCUCUGAAUUGGGGAUAACAUUGCGAAAGCGAUGCCAAUACCGGAUAAUAUCUCUUUGACUACGGUCUUUGAGAUCAAAGGUGGCCUCCACAUGUAAGCUUCUGUUUGGAGAUGAGCCCGCGUACCAUUAGCUUGUUGGUAGGGUAAUGGCCUACCAAGGCGACGAUGGUUAGCUGGUCUGAGAGGAUGACCAGCCACACUGGAACUGACACACGGUCCAGACUCCUACGGGAGGCAGCAGUGAGGAAUUUUGCGCAAUGGGGGAAACCCUGACGCAGCAACGCCGCGUGAGUGAUGAA
rnacentral:rRNA from 1 species